GACGAACGCUGGCGGCGUGCUUAACACAUGCAAGUCGAACGGAAAGGCCCUGCUUUUGUGGGGUGCUCGAGUGGCGAACGGGUGAGUAACACGUGAGUAACCUGCCCUUGACUUUGGGAUAACUUCAGGAAACUGGGGCUAAUACCGGAUAGGAGCUCCUGCUGCAUGGUGGGGGUUGGAAAGUUUCGGCGGUUGGGGAUGGACUCGCGGCUUAUCAGCUUGUUGGUGGGGUAGUGGCUUACCAAGGCUUUGACGGGUAGCCGGCCUGAGGGGGUGACCGGCCACAUUGGGACUGAGAUACGGCCCAGACUCCUACGGGAGGCAGCAGUGGGGAAUAUUGCACAAUGGGCGGAAGCCUGAUGCAGCAACGCCGCGUGCGGGAUGACGGCCUUCGGGUUGUAAACCGCUUUCGCCUGUGACGAAGCGUGAGUGACGGUAAUGGGUAAAGAAGCACCGGCUAACUACGUGCCAGCAGCCGCGGUGAUACGUAGGGUGCGAGCGUUGUCCGGAUUUAUUGGGCGUAAAGGGCUCGUAGGUGGUUGAUCGCGUCGGAAGUGUAAUCUUGGGGCUUAACCCUGAGCGUGCUUUCGAUACGGGUUGACUUGAGGGAGGUAGGGGAGAAUGGAAUUCCUGGUGGAGCGGUGGAAUGCGCAGAUAUCAGGAGGAACACCAGUGGCGAAGGCGGUUCUCUGGGCCUUUCCUGACGCUGAGGAGCGAAAGCGUGGGGAGCGAACAGGCUUAGAUACCCUGGUAGUCCACGCUGUAAACGGUGGGUACUAGGUGUGGGGUCCAUUCCACGGGUUCCGUGCCGUAGCUAACGCUUUAAGUACCCCGCCUGGGGAGUACGGCCGCAAGGCUAAAACUCAAAGGAAUUGACGGGGCCCCGCACAAGCGGCGGAGCAUGCGGAUUAAUUCGAUGCAACGCGUAGAACCUUACCUGGGUUUGACAUGGAUCGGGAGCGCUCAGAGAUGGGUGUGCCUCUUUUGGGGUCGGUUCACAGGUGGUGCAUGGCUGUCGUCAGCUCGUGUCGUGAGAUGUUGGGUUAAGUCCCGCAACGAGCGCAACCCUUGUUCACUGUUGCCAGCACGUUAUGGUGGGGACUCAGUGGAGACCGCCGGGGUCAACUCGGAGGAAGGUGGGGAUGACGUCAAGUCAUCAUGCCCCUUAUGUCCAGGGCUUCACGCAUGCUACAAUGGCUGGUACAGAGAGUGGCGAGCCUGUGAGGGUGAGCGAAUCUCGGAAAGCCGGUCUCAGUUCGGAUUGGGGUCUGCAACUCGACCUCAUGAAGUCGGAGUCGCUAGUAAUCGCAGAUCAGCAACGCUGCGGUGAAUACGUUCCCGGG
rnacentral:rRNA from 1 species